GGGGGCGACCUGGCUUCGACGUGGGUUGCCAAUCCCUAGGUGCAUGCCGAGGAUGUAGUACUCCUCGUUAAAUAAAACUGCAAUGUUAUAGUCGCAAAUGACGACAACUUUGCUCUAGCUGCUUAAAAACCAGAUCUAGAGUCGUCCGCCCUAGUGAGCUUGCGCGUUAGGAAUCGGGCGUCACCUUAGCAAGAUCGUGGCAAAACGAGUCUGUAGUCGCGUCAUUAAACUAAACUGACAGAAUCGCAAUCAAGCGCCCUGCCCGUCGGACACCUGAUUGUUAAAUUAAAGACGGACCUAAGCAUGUAGUACCGAAGGUGCCGGACUUGCGGACGCGGGUUCAAUUCCCGCCGCCUCCACCA
rnacentral:tmRNA from 1 species